UGGGGAAUAUUGGACAAUGGGCGAAAGCCUGAUCCAGCAAUGCCGCGUGAGUGAUGAAGGCCUUAGGGUUGUAAAGCUCUUUUACCAGGGAUGAUAAUGACAGUACCUGGAGAAUAAGCUCCGGCUAACUCCGUGCCAGCAGCCGCGGUAAUACGGAGGGAGCUAGCGUUGUUCGGAAUUACUGGGCGUAAAGCGUACGUAGGCGGUUAUUCAAGUCAGAGGUGAAAGCCCGGGGCUCAACCCCGGAACGGCCUUUGAAACUAGAUAGCUAGAGUCUUGGAGAGGUUAGUGGAAUUCCGAGUGUAGAGGUGAAAUUCGUAGAUAUUCGGAAGAACACCAGUGGCGAAGGCGACUAACUGGACAAGUACUGACGCUGAGGUACGAAAGCGUGGGGAGCAAACAGG
rnacentral:rRNA from 1 species